UAUCAAGGUAUUUAUUAUGAAUAUAUAAGAGUGUAGGAUACAUAUACAUUACGAUACAUAAAUACUAAUUUUAUUGGAUGAACAUCAUAGCAUUUGUAUCAAUUUCACAAUAGAGAACAGAUCUAUGAUGAAUAUUACAGCAGAACAUUUGCAUCAAUUCGGCCAAAGAAAAACAUCUCCUGAAUGGUAUUACAUUUCUCAAUCUAUCAGUGUAAACUAUGGUUACUGCUAAGCUAAAUCUUCUAAUUAUAUUUGCUUCUUCAUCCAACCAAAGAAUUCAGCUGCCACUCAGUUAUGCUUCUUUCGAAUCUGUAAAUGAUAAAUGGACCUUGCAGUUAUGUGAUUAAAUGUACAUAAGUAUAAUUUUGGAAUAUGGAAGAAAAGACUCUAACUUACAAAAGAUUAAGCCAAGUAAUUAAGUAUCAUGAAGCAAAAUCAUCAUCAAUUCUCUUGCAAUCAAAAACUUACCUUACUAACUCUUCAUUAUCGACAAUAGGUUCAUCUCUGUACACAAGUGCAAAUUCAGGUGAUUUGGAUAUGUUAAAGUCUUUCAAAAUACUUGGGAUGCAACCUACCUAUAUUAUGAUCAAUAUUAUUAUUCAAUGAUAAUAAUAAAGGAAUUUGCAUGAACAAAAUUUCAAUGGAUACACAUGGUCUUAGUUCGGGAAGACUAUCAUUACCUGUUGUAUUUUCUUAGUGAUUAUUUUGAUAUACUACACUUAAAUGAUCAUACAUCUACUAN
rnacentral:lncRNA from 1 species